GUGCUUAACACAUGCAAGUCGAACGGAAAGGCCCUGCUUUUGUGGGGUGCUCGAGUGGCGAACGGGUGAGUAACACGUGAGUAACCUGCCCUUGACUUUGGGAUAACUUCAGGAAACUGGGGCUAAUACCGGAUAGGAGCUCCUGCUGCAUGGUGGGGGUUGGAAAGUUUCGGCGGUUGGGGAUGGACUCGCGGCUUAUCAGCUUGUUGGUGGGGUAGUGGCUUACCAAGGCUUUGACGGGUAGCCGGCCUGAGAGGGUGACCGGCCACAUUGGGACUGAGAUACGGCCCAGACUCCUACGGGAGGCAGCAGUGGGGAAUAUUGCACAAUGGGCGGAAGCCUGAUGCAGCAACGCCGCGUGCGGGAUGACGGCCUUCGGGUUGUAAACCGCUUUCGCCUGUGACGAAGCGUGAGUGACGGUAAUGGGUAAAGAAGCACCGGCUAACUACGUGCCAGCAGCCGCGGUGAUACGUAGGGUGCGAGCGUUGUCCGGAUUUAUUGGGCGUAAAGGGCUCGUAGGUGGUUGAUCGCGUCGGAAGUGUAAUCUUGGGGCUUAACCCUGAGCGUGCUUUCGAUACGGGUUGACUUGAGGAAGGUAGGGGAGAAUGGAAUUCCUGGUGGAGCGGUGGAAUGCGCAGAUAUCAGGAGGAACACCAGUGGCGAAGGCGGUUCUCUGGGCCUUUCCUGACGCUGAGGAGCGAAAGCGUGGGGAGCGAACAGGCUUAGAUACCCUGGUAGUCCACGCUGUAAACGGUGGGUACUAGGUGUGGGGUCCAUUCCACGGGUUCCGUGCCGUAGCUAACGCUUUAAGUACCCCGCCUGGGGAGUACGGCCGCAAGGCUAAAACUCAAAGGAAUUGACGGGGCCCCGCACAAGCGGCGGAGCAUGCGGAUUAAUUCGAUGCAACGCGUAGAACCUUACCUGGGUUUGACAUGGAUCGGGAGUGCUCAGAGAUGGGUGUGCCUCUUUUGGGGUCGGUUCACAGGUGGUGCAUGGCUGUCGUCAGCUCGUGUCGUGAGAUGUUGGGUUAAGUCCCGCAACGAGCGCAACCCUUGUUCACUGUUGCCAGCACGUUAUGGUGGGGACUCAGUGGAGACCGCCGGGGUCAACUCGGAGGAAGGUGGGGAUGACGUCAAGUCAUCAUGCCCCUUAUGUCCAGGGCUUCACGCAUGCUACAAUGGCUGGUACAGAGAGUGGCGAGCCUGUGAGGGUGAGCGAAUCUCGGAAAGCCGGUCUCAGUUCGGAUUGGGGUCUGCAACUCGACCUCAUGAAGUCGGAGUCGCUAGUAAUCGCAGAUCAGCAACGCUGCGGUGAAUACGUUCCCGGGGCUUGUACACACCGCCCGUCAAGUCAUGAAAGUUGGUAACACCCGAAGCCGGUGGCCUAACCGUUGUGGGGGAGCCGUCGAAGGUGGGACUGGUGAUU
rnacentral:rRNA from 1 species